AACGAACGCUGGCGGCGUGCCUAACACAUGCAAGUCGAGCGCGAAAAGAGCAAUCUGAGUAGAGCGGCGCACGGGUGCGUAACACGUGGGUAAUCUGCCCUCAAGGUCUGGGAUAACCUUCCGAAAGGUUGGCUAAUACCAGUUAAGCUCACGGUGACCUUCGGUCGCUGAGAGAAAGGGGCCCGAAAGGGUCUCGCCAUGAGGAUGAGCCCGC
rnacentral:rRNA from 1 species